rnacentral:rRNA from 1 species
UACGUAGGGUGCGAGCGUUAAUCGGAAUUACUGGGCGUAAAGCGUGCGCAGGCGGUUUUGUAAGCCAGAUGUGAAAUCCCCGGGCUUAACCUGGGAAUGGCAUUUGGGACUGCAAGGCUCGAGUGCGGCAGAGGAGACUGGAAUUCCUGGUGUAGCAGUGAAAUGCGCAGAUAUCAGGAGGAACACCAGCGGCGAAGGCGGCGCUCUGGGCCGGUACUGACGCUGAGGAGCGAAAGCGUGGGGAUCAAACAGG